rnacentral:rRNA from 1 species
UACGUAGGGUGCGAGCGUUGUCCGGAAUUAUUGGGCGUAAAGAGCUUGUAGGCGGUCUGUCGCGUCUGCUGUGAAAAUCCGGGGCUCAACCCCGGACUUGCAGUGGGUACGGGCAGACUAGAGUGUGGUAGGGGAGACUGGAAUUCCUGGUGUAGCGGUGAAAUGCGCAGAUAUCAGGAGGAACACCGAUGGCGAAAGCAGGCUUCUGGGCCAUCACUGACGCUGAUCUGCGAAAGCUAGGGGAGCAAACAGG